rnacentral:rRNA from 1 species
AUUGAACGCUGGCGGCGGGCCUAACACAUGCAAGUCGAGCGGAUGAAGGGAGCUUGCUCCUGGAUUCAGCGGCGGACGGGUGAGUAAUGCCUAGGAAUCUGCCUGGUAGUGGGGGAUAACGUCCGGAAACGGGCGCUAAUACCGCAUACGUCCUGAGGGGGAAAGUGGGGGAUCUUCGGACCUCACGCUAUCAGAUGAGCCUAGGUCGGAUUAGCUAGUUGGUGGGGUAAAGGCCUACCAAGGCGACGAUCCGUAACUGGUCUGAGAGGAUGAUCAGUCACACUGGAACUGAGACACGGUCCAGACUCCUACGGGAGGCAGCAGUGGGGAAUAUUGGACAAAGGGCGAAAGCCUGAUCCAGCCAUGCCGCGUGUGUGAAGAAGGUCUUCGGAUUGUAAAGCACUUUAAGUUGGGAGGAAGGGCAGUAAGUUAAUACCUUGCUGUUUUGACGUUACCAACAGAAUAAGCACCGGCUAACUUCGUG